GGAUACUUCUUGCAAUAUUUAUUCCACUUGAAAUUAAUCCAUAGUGAUUUCUUUUAUUCUAAAGUUUUAAAAACAUCAAAUAAUAAUAUAAACCCUAUACCACAUAAUCUUACAAAUAAAGUUUUAAAAACAUCAAAUAAUAAUCUAAACCCUAGACCACCUUCAUCUUUUGGUAAACAAAUAUUUGUCCGUGAGAUCUAGUACCUUCUUCUCUCCUCAUAUGUACUAUUUCAGAGAAACCUUGCAAAUAAUUUGUAAAUGUCAUGAUUACACAGUUUGGGCGGUUGACAACUGAUAAUAGAUAAAUAGGUACUCUGAAUAACACUAUUAAUCAAGAUUGCUUUACUCCCAAAUGACAGAAACUUUCCCUUCCAAGCCUGGAUUUUGUUCUUUAUCUUCUCGGCCAGAGUAGUAACUUGUCCUUUUUUAUUGGAAUGAAAUAUAGGGCAUCCCAAAUAUACAAAAGGAAAAUUACCUUUGCCGAAAUCUGUCACCUCUUCUACUUGUUAAAUAAGAUUGUUUACAGUGUUCCUGUGUACAAAAAAGGAACUUUUCUCCUUGUUGAUGAAUUGUCCAGAUUGCUUCUCAUAAUCCUCCAAGGAACUUGUUGUUGCUCAUGUUCCUUGUGGCUUGUUGCCAUCUUUUUGAGCCUCUAUAUCUUGCACUUUUAGGGCAUCACAGAGUGGAGUUAUAUUAAUCCUAUGGAGCUUGAUAGUUUCAGGGAUGAUGGUGCGCAACUCCUCCAAAUCAAGCCAACCAUAGAACUUCCCCACAAUGGCAUGUUGCAAAUUUUUUACAUUCAUCUUUGCAACUUCUGAUUCAAACCAUUUUAUAUAUGACUCUCCAUGUAAUAUUGUAACAAGCUUAGCCGCAAUUGUAGGAAAAUCUCUUUUUGGGCACGUAGGAUUGCUAUUCGAAGUCUCAGGUUUCAGAAUCUUCGAGUAAUCUAGGGCGUUUGAAGUCAUAUUGGUAUCUGGGCUGGGUAAUUUGGGUGGUGCGCCAAGCAGGGACUGGUCAACCAUUGUCGUGGAUGACUGACCAGUGGCCGUAUUGGCCAUCAAUGGUUGUUUCCGAUAGUAAAAAAUCUAGGGUUUUCGAGCAUGGGAGGUGUGCUAGAGAGCCUUUUUCCCGAAUAAAAUUCUAUGUAGAGAAUACAAUUCAAUAACAAAUUUUUUUUUUUCUC